rnacentral:rRNA from 1 species
UACGUAGGGUGCGAGCGUUGUCCGGAAUUACUGGGCGUAAAGAGCUCGUAGGUGGUUUGUCGCGUUGUUCGUGAAAACUCACAGCUUAACUGUGGGCGUGCGGGCGAUACGGGCAGACUGGAGUACUGCAGGGGAGACUGGAAUUCCUGGUGCAGCGGUGGAAUGCGCAGAUAUCAGGAGGAACACCGGUGGCGAAGGCGGGUCUCUGGGCAGUAACUGACGCUGAGGAGCGAAAGCGUGGGGAGCGAACAGG